UCCUCUCUCUCCCUCCCGGUCUCUGCUCCAUCUUCUCAUUCUCCUCGCUCUCUCUCCAACGCAUCUCCGCCCUCUCUAUCUCUCUCUCCCACUCUCCUUCUCAACCCAAACCCAAACCCUCCUCUCCCAACAUCCAUGUCCUGGGAUGGCGCUCUCUCCUCUGUCCGAUUGAUAGUCCAAGGCAAAAAUCAUGUCCAGAGAUCGGGAAAGGCCCGAAGCUCCGCAGGUGCGAGGUGCGUGUAGUGGUAUUUUCGUAGUUCUUAUUCUGGGUGUAUCAUUUUUCGAUGGAAAUUAGGGUUUCGAGGGAGUGAUCGGUUGUAAAAAAUCAAGUAUAUUGUUCUUCCUUCAUUUCCUUUCUUGUAAUCUAUGUUGAAUUGAGAUUUGAUCGGAAUUAGGUUUAUCUUUGUUGAAUUCCUUGUUCUGCUUUUUGAAAUGUUGAUUUAUGGUUUUAGUGGAGAGAUCAUUAAUUGUAGAAAUGAGUCCUUUUUCGUUAUGAGAUCAUUAAGGAUAGAAGCUUCUUCAAUGAUCUGAUUUGCAUGAUUUUUGGUUCUUAUAUUUACAAUAAUGAUGCCAACUGUGGUAGCAUUGAUGAUGCCUUGAGGCUGUUUGGUAAAAUGCCUGAGAGAAGGUAAAUGACAGUAAGUUCAGGCAAGAGUAUAAAAAAGUGUCAUUUCUUCCCCAUUUGUGGUAAGCUCCAAUAAGAACAUGCAGGGCUGAUGUAUUUUCAGCCCCACAGAUCAAUGUUUCCAUUGCAAGGUUCAAUAUUGAAAUG